AACGAACGCUGGCGGCAGGCUUAACACAUGCAAGUCGAACGAGAUCUUCGGGGACAGUGGCAGACGGGUGAGUAACGCGUGGGAAUCUACCUUGUGGUACGGAACAACCAAGGGAAACUUUGGCUAAUACCGUAUGAGCCCUUCGGGGGAAAGAUUUAUCGCCAUAAGAUGAGCCCGCGUAGGAUUAGCUAGUUGGUGAGGUAAAGGCUCACCAAGGCGACGAUCCUUAGCUGGUCUGAGAGGAUGACCAGCCACACUGGGACUGAGACACGGCCCAGACUCCUACGGGAGGCAGCAGUGGGGAAUAUUGGACAAUGGGCGCAAGCCUGAUCCAGCCAUGCCGCGUGUGUGAUGACGGCCUUAGGGUUGUAAAGCACUUUCGCCGAUGAAGAUAAUGACUGUAGUCGGAGAAGAAGCCCCGGCUAACUUCGUGCCAGCCGCCGCCGUAA
rnacentral:rRNA from 1 species